GUAUUUCUCUACUCUUUUGUGGUUUCAGUUUCUUAAAAGAAUAAAAGAAAUAUAAAAAAAAAAAAGAGUACUUAUUGAACCUUAUUCUCAAGCUUUGAUGAUCUGAUCGAUUCGAAAUCGUCGAUACAAUAGCAUGGAACGAUUCGUCGGCGGCAAAUUCAAGCUCGGUCGCAAGAUCGGCAGUGGUUCCUUCGGCGAAAUUUAUCUCGCUACGCAUAUCGAUACGUUUGAGAUAGUCGCUGUUAAGAUCGAGAACAAUAAAACGAAGCAUCCGCAACUGUUUUACGAAGCAAAACUGUACAAUAUUCUUCAAGGAGGAAGUGGAAUUCCUAGCAUAAAAUGGUCAGGUGUAGACGGUGAAGAUAAUGCACUUGUUCUCGAUUUGCUCGGACCGAGUUUGGAAGAUCUUUUUGUGUAUUGUGGAAGGAACUUUUCGCUGAAAACUGUCUUAAUGUUGGCUGAUCAAAUGAUUACAAGAAUUGAAUAUGUUCACUCUAAGGGAUUUCUUCAUAGAGAUAUAAAGCCUGAUAACUUCCUCAUGGGACUUGGUCGGAAAGCAAAUCAAGUUUAUAUAAUUGAUUUUGGACUAGCAAAAAGAUAUCGAGAUUCCACGACUAAUCGCCAUAUUCCAUACAGAGAGAACAAGAAUUUAACGGGGACUGCACGUUAUGCCAGUUGCAAUACUCAUCUUGGAAUAGAGCAAAGUCGAAGGGAUGAUUUGGAAUCACUUGGCUAUGUACUUCUAUAUUUUCUUAGAGGAAGCCUUCCAUGGCAAGGUUUGAAAGCUGGCACAAAGAAGCAGAAAUAUGAUAAAAUAUGUGAGAAGAAGGUGUCCACUCCUAUCGAGGUUCUUUGUAAGUCCCAUCCUGUGGAAUUUGCAUCUUACUUCCAUUAUUGCCAUUCGUUGACAUUUGAUCAACGUCCUGAUUACGGAUUUUUGAAGCGUCUUUUCCGUGAUUUGUUUGCUCGUGAAGGUUAUGAGUUUGACUACAUUUUUGAUUGGACUAUCAUCAAGUACCAGCAAGCCCAGAAAAGUAGAUCUGAGCUCAGAUUUUCUCCUGUUCCUGGAGGUAGCAGCAGUCAUCCUUUUCCCGUGGAUGUGAACAAUCAUCAAGGAAGUUCUAAUCCUUCUUACUUGACUGAUAUUACAGAGCGCACUAGAUCAAACAAUGUUUCGGGUCCUGUUGAGAAAAAUAUUUUUUACCCUCAUACACCCUCAUCUUCGUUUGCACAUGCCAGUACCGCAAGAAGAAAGCAGAAAUCAACAUUUCCCAAUGAAACCACUAAUUCUGGGCCUGGGCAUGGAAACAAAAUCGGUCCCUCCAGUAGUUGGAUAUCAUCAUUGCAGCGCAUUUCAUCUGCCAAAUGAUGAAAAUGUUGUUUUCUCAGCGCAAUUUCUAUUUGUUUUUGUGCAUCACUUAAAAUAUUUCGGCUUCUCAUGUCCUGUCAAAGUGUAUGGUGUGUUUGAAGACCGUAAAAUGUAUAUCCCUCUUCUAACACGGAAAAUCUAGAAAGGACUGCUUGAAGAAACUAUUUAUGGAAAAUCUAGAAAAAUCUCGAAAGGGCCCUUCGAGUCCUUGAUUCUGCAAAUAUCAUCAGUGCACGUGCCGUAAAAGUUAAGUUCUGCCUUUGAUUUCAACUUGCCUAUGACAAGGAACAUGUUACAAUACAUAUCUCUGCCGAGCUUGUCUAAUCAUGUAUGAUGCGGAUCUGUUCGGGAUAAUGAGAGAAGAUUAAAAUGAACAAAUAACUUUUUUACACAUUUGCUGUGUCUACUUGGAUUCUGAAGAACUGAGGAGCUCUAUGUGACUAUGCUGGUAUCGCGUAAACUAGGCGAGGCAGACAAGACAUUACUUCAAGCUCCUUCAGGUAUAUAUGUAUGUAUGUAUCGUAUGUACAACUGCUGACAAUCUACUUUCCGAUACAUAAUGCUAUUUCAGAAUGGAAAAAGUCGAUGAAAACAUUAUGUUCUUUGUCCUUACAACUGGGGCUCCUUUGAUUUUACAUUUUUGGUCUUCCUUGAAAACUCUUGGGGCAGUGCCAAAUCAUUAUUAUUAUUAUCAAAAGGUUAAAUGACAUAUGUAAGCAAAUCCAUAUGAUUAUUUAUUGUUCAUCUUCUGUAAA